rnacentral:lncRNA from 1 species
CUGAAAGCACGGUAGUCACCGGUGUUGGCAUUGUCAUGAACCAUCACUUACAAGAAACCAGCUUCACAAAAGAGGCUUACAAAACAUAUAUCAAAGACUACAUAAAACCACUCAAAGGCUGACUUGAACAGAAACCAGAAAAAGUCUUUUAGACUGGAGCUGCAGAGCAAAUUAAGCACAUCCUUGCUAAUUUCAAUAGCUACCAGUUUUUUAUUGGUGAAAACAUGAUGGUAAGUAUGGUUGCUCUACUGGACUACUGUGAAGACGGUGUGACUCCGUUCAUGAUUUUCUUUAAGGAUGGCUUAGAGAUGGAAAAAUGUUAACAAAUUAGACAAAUGGAAUCUGUCACCUGUCACUAUAAUUGGCUGCUGCUUACCAUCCAUCCAACACCAGGACUUAGGACAAAUGGGACUGAUACCAUCUUGAGCUUUUAUUUUGACUGUGAUUUACUUGGAGUGGAGGCACUGCUUUUUCUUUUUUAAAGAAAAAAAAACAUGUCAUGUGGGUUGUCUAAAAAUAAAGCGCAUUUAAAUU